CGAUGAUGAAUAUGAAAAAAAGACAUGGUGUUACGACCUUCAAGAAGAGAGAUUCCUCUACAAAGAAAUAGUCAACGAUCCGGCGAUUGUCAAAGUAAUCAUAGGAAUUGUGGAAUAUGGAACUUCGAAUAAAUAUGUAACUGACGUUCAACUUAAACUUGAGGAAACUUUGGAGGAAGAAAUCUCUAUAGACUUUAAUGCAGCGAUUCAACCCGUAGAUGCAGCCAAACCAGAAGCAAUCACUAAAUUAUUCAGCCCCGACGAAAACGGAACGGUAUACCUAAAAGAAGACCCUGACGAAUUGAACAAUUUCAGAUUAUCCAGUUUGUUCUGCAAACGUUUAGUUCUAAACAUAUUGUGCAAAGAUAUCGAGUACAAAAAUACUUUUUGCAAUGCUAUUGCACGUAAGCCUGCGAAGGUAACCAGAUCUAUUUUUCCACUUCCACAUACUAAAAUCGAAUUACAUAUACACCACGAACGUCUACCGCAAAAAAAGGUUCCACACGACGGUACACUGGAACUGGUAUUUUUCAAAACACUCGAGUUGUCCUACCUUCAAGAAACAAAACUCGUUCUCUUAAAUAACACCAAACACACGGUUGGUUCGUUUAAAGAGUUCGUCCAAUUAUUUUCGAAAAAAGACCACCAAGUAUAUGUUCUUGAAAACGAAGGAUGGAAGGUGGGAAUUACGGCUUCGAGUACUGACUCCCAUCAGCGUUACUCAGUCAUUAAAACAGAAGUAAUCGACCCAAAA